rnacentral:rRNA from 1 species
GAUGAACGCUGGCGGCGUGCCUAAUACAUGCAAGUCGAGCGAACAGACGAGGAGCUUGCUCCUCUGACGUUAGCGGCGGACGGGUUAGUAACACGUUGAUAACCUACCUAUAAGACUGGGAUAACUUCGGGAAACCGGAGCUAAUACCGGAUAAUAUAUUGAACCGCAUGGUUCAAUAGUGAAAGACGGUUUUGCUGUCACUUAUAGAUGGAUCCGCGCCGCAUUAGCUAGUUGGUAAGGUAACGGCUUACCAAGGCAACGAUGCGUAGCCGACCUGAGAGGGUGAUCGGCCACACUGGAACUGAGACACGGUCCAGACUCCUACGGGAGGCAGCAGUAGGGAAUCUUCCGCAAUGGGCGAAAGCCUGACGGAGCAACGCCGCGUGAGUGAUGAAGGUCUUCGGAUCGUAAAACUCUGUUAUUAGGGAAGAACAAAUGUGUAAGUAACUAUGCACGUCUUGACGGUACCUAAUCAGAAAGCCACGGCUAACUACGUG